rnacentral:lncRNA from 1 species
CAGGAUGUUCUUUCUCAGACACACUCAUCCCAUUGUCCUUCUACUUCUGGAAGCAGUUCUGCAAGUCUUCUUUCAUGAAUGUCUACAACCUUUCUGGUCAUUUUGACUUUGGGGAAGAGCCAGAAAUCAGAAGGAGCCAGAUCAAUUCACUCCUGGGAGUAGAAGGAGCUCUGCGGGGCCACACUGCUGCCCGUGCCAUGUGUCAGGUACCUGUGUGCACCGUGACUUGCUGCCGUACAUGUAUACACAUGAUGUCAUGUACGUACCCAGGACUCACACAUGUGUGCACAUGUGAUUUACUGGGGACCCUGUAGCUGGCUCCCCUCCCAGCCACCCUGUUCCAGAGUCACAGUGAGCACAAAGUGACGCACAGUGGUUCUCUCUCUAGCCAGCUGUUCUGCUCCUGCUAUGACAUGAUCUUCUUUCCUAUCUCUGCAGCAAAAGGGCCUUUAACUUCUUU